rnacentral:rRNA from 1 species
CAGCCGCCGCGGGAAUACAGAGGGUGCGAGCGUUAAUCGGAUUUACUGGGCGUAAAGCGUGCGUAGGCGGCUUUUUAAGUCGGAUGUGAAAUCCCUGAGCUUAACUUAGGAAUUGCAUUCGAUACUGGGAAGCUAGAGUAUGGGAGAGGAUGGUAGAAUUCCAGGUGUAGCGGUGAAAUGCGUAGAGAUCUGGAGGAAUACCGAUGGCGAAGGCAGCCAUCUGGCCUAAUACUGACGCUGAGGUACGAAAGCAUGGGGAGCGAACAGGAUUAGAGACCCCGGUAGUCCCUGUCUCUUAUAC